UGCCACCAGCCGUCUGCGGUCCGCGCUCCUGCGGCGGCGCGGCGAGGGCUCGCGUUGCGGGAGGGGAGCGCAGCAGGCGUGAGCCCGAGGCAGCCCCGUUCCCAGGGGCAGGGCCGUGGCAAUAGUAACCUGCUGAAACCAAGAGGACUAUUUCUCUAAGGUGAGCAGCGACCACUUUUCACGGUUGCCUCAAGAUGAAGACGUGGAACGCACAUUUCUGGAUUUCACGUUACACACGUUCAAUCUUGAGUGGUUUGUAACCAACAGCUGGAAGCUGGCUCCCUUUUGUGCCAUACGGAGCCUAUUUCUUGUCUCGUCUGUUCCUCCCCGGUUUUGCUCCGCACAGGCAGUUUACCUGCCCAGCCCUUGUACGGCAGCUAACAAGGGAACAAACUCACUCGGGGGCAGGCAAGCAAGCCGGAAAGCACAGUAGACCGGCUAGGAGCAAGAAAAGCAGAGA
rnacentral:lncRNA from 1 species